UCACUUUGUAGACCAGGCUGG
rnacentral:miRNA from 1 species